UGUAUAUAUAUAUAUGUGUGUAUAUGUAUGUAUAUAUAUGUGUGUAUAUAUGUAUGUAUAUAUAUGUGUGUAUAUAUGUAUGUAUAUGUGUGAUGAAGUUUGUACACUAGGUUAUUUCCUCGUAUCAUCACCAAUCUGUCUGGGAUAAUGAUUUUAAUGAUUAUAUUUAUUUUUCUGUGUUGGUAUUCUCUGUUGUUUCCUCAUACCUAAAGGGUUUGCAAUGUCAACUGCAUGAGACUUUUAGAUAUAAGGAAAUCAUGCAGGUUUUUACCAACAAACAACUGUUACAAGACAUACAGACCAAGCACACUAACACAAGUGAGUAUUGAGACCUUAGCAUUUUCACGCAGAAAUGUACAGUCUAAUGUACAUGUGUGUGUGUGUAUAUGUGUAUGUGUAUGUAUAUAUAUGUACAUGUGUAUAUAUGUAUCUGUACAUCUGUAUAUAUAUGUACAUGUGUAUAUAUGUAUAUAUAUAUAUGUACAUGUGUAUAUAUGUAUGUAUAUGUGUAUGUAUGUAUGUAUACAUACACACAUACAUAUUUUUGUUUAUUUACUCCACAGAUUUUGCCUUUUCAUUAAGUAUGUAGUUGUCCCUGGUGAGGGAGAAGUUUUAUCACUCAACAAAUUCAAAACUGCACUCAUAUCUUAUGGUAAAGUAAAAACUUUGGUGUACGUCUUACUCAGUGACGCAUUGUCUUUACUUCCACAUCAACUCCUAAGUAAUUAUUAUUAUUAUUAUUUAUUUACAAAUUUGGUUCAUUUUAAUCUAUUCAGUAAGUUUGGUUUACAAGAGACUAACGUUUAGUGUUUUUUAAUGACGGAAAACAUUUUAUAAUUUAAUAAACAUUAUAUGCGUAAUAUUAUGGAGCUGCUAAAAUUGAAAUUCUGCAGCUCUAGAAUUUCAAAGUGGUAUUCUUUUAAUGUAUUAUAAACAUAUAUUUUCAUAAACAUUUUAUCAAAUACUAUGGUAAAUAGCAUAAUUACUAGUUACUUGUAACCUAUAUAAUUACUAGCUGUAUUAGUAACAUUAUAAGUUGUUCCUCUUUUUUUUUUUAUUUUCUCAUUGUAACCUCCAACAUGGUCAGUGAACUAUUAUUUUCAGUACGUUUGGACAUAAGGUGGUGGGUCUUUUAAUGUGUUAUUAAAAUUUUUAAUGUUUGAAUGAUGAUAAAUUUACAUGCGAAGGACAAUUGAUUAUGCACUUGGUACUUUUAAUUUAAGAAGCAAUUAGGUUUGUAAGAAUAUUAUUAUUAUUAUUAUUAUUAUUG